ACGCGAAGAACCUUACCNCAGGCUUGAACAGCGAGUGACCAUCGACGAAAGUUGACUUCCGCAAGGACACUCGUAGAGGUGCUGCAUGGCUGUCGUCAGCUCGUGUCGUGAGAUGUUGGGUUAAGUCCCGCAACGAGCGCAACCCUUGUUUGCCGUUGCCAUCACGUUAUGGUGGGCACUCUGCAAAGACUGCCGGUGAUAAACCGGAGGAAGGUGGGGAUGACGUCAAGUCAGCAUGGCCUUUAUGUCUGGGGCUACACACGUGCUACAAUGGCCGAUACAAACCGUCGCGAGCCCGCAAGGGGGAGCUAAUCGGAGAAAGUCGGUCUCAGUUCGGAUAGCAGGCUGCAACUCGCCUGCUUGAAGUUGGAAUCGCUAGUAAUCGCGGAUCAGCACGCCGCGGUGAAUACGUUCCCGGGUCUUGUACACACCG
rnacentral:rRNA from 1 species